UCUAGCGAUCCCGCUCCUGCUAACCCUUCUCGUUUCCUCGGUUGGAUACUAGAAAAAAACGAAAGAGCCGCAUCCACAGACCAUGACCCCGUUUUCUCCCAACCUCCUCGAUCCCGAUCCCCUCCAUCUCGUGAUGCCCACGAUCUCCCCUCUCUUCUUCCCACCCGGCCAGGCAGGGAAGCCGUUUCAUGAUCCGCCGCCAGCCGUGCUCGCGCGGGGGGAGGGAGGCCGCCG
rnacentral:lncRNA from 1 species